AGUUCAGUUGGUAGAAUGCUUGCCUCACAUGUAUGAGGCCCUGGGUUCAAUCCCCAG
rnacentral:tRNA from 1 species